AGAGUUUGAUCCUGGCUCAGGAUGAACGCUGGCGGCGUGCUUAACACAUGCAAGUCGAACGAACCUUCGGGUUAGUGGCGGACGGGUGAGUAACGCGUGGGAAUCUGCCCUCAGGAGGGGGAUAACGGCCGGAAACGGCCGCUAAUACCCCAUAUGCCGAGAGGUGAAAUGAAUUUCGCCUGAGGAUGAGCCCGCGUCUGAUUAGCUAGUUGGUGUGGUAAUGGCGCACCAAGGCGACGAUCAGUAGCUGGUCUGAGAGGAUGAUCAGCCACACUGGGACUGAGACACGGCCCAGACUCCUACGGGAGGCAGCAGUGGGGAAUUUUCCGCAAUGGGCGAAAGCCUGACGGAGCAACGCCGCGUGAGGGAUGAAGGCCUCUGGGCUGUAAACCUCUUUUCUCAAGGAAGAAGACAUGACGGUACUUGAGGAAUAAGCCACGGCUAAUUCCGUGCCAGCAGCCGCGGUAAUACGGGAGUGGCAAGCGUUAUCCGGAAUUAUUGGGCGUAAAGCGUCCGCAGGCGGCCUUGUAAGUCUGUCGUUAAAGCGUGGAGCUUAACUCCAUUUCAGCGAUGGAAACUACAAGGCUUGAGUGUGGUAGGGGCAGAGGGAAUUCCCGGUGUAGCGGUGAAAUGCGUAGAUAUCGGGAAGAACACCAGUGGCGAAGGCGCUCUGCUGGGCCAUAACUGACGCUCAUGGACGAAAGCCAGGGGAGCGAAAGGGAUUAGAUACCCCUGUAGUCCUGGCCGUAAACGAUGAACACUAGGUGUCGGGGGAAUCGACCCCCUCGGUGUCGUAGCUAACGCGUUAAGUGUUCCGCCUGGGGAGUACGCACGCAAGUGUGAAACUCAAAGGAAUUGACGGGGGCCCGCACAAGCGGUGGAGUAUGUGGGUUUAAUUCGAUGCAACGCGAAGAACCUUACCAGGGUUUGACAUCCUGCGAAUCCCUUGAAAACGAGGGAGUGCCUUCGGGAGCGCAGAGACAGGUGGUGCAUGGCUGUCGUCAGCUCGUGUCGUGAGAUGUUGGGUUAAGUCCCGCAACGAGCGCAACCCACGUCUUUAGUUGCCAGCAUUCAGUUGGGCACUCUAGAGAGACCGCCGGUGAUAAACCGGAGGAAGGUGUGGAUGACGUCAAGUCAUCAUGCCCCUUACAUCCUGGGCUACACACGUACUACAAUGCUACGGACAAAGGGUUGCAAGCUCGCGAGAGUUAGCUAAUCCCAUAAACCGUGGCUCAGUUCAGAUCGUAGGCUGCAACUCGACUGCGUGAAGUCGGAAUCGCUAGUAAUCGCAGGUCAGCAUGCCGCGGUGAAUACGUUCCCGGGUCUUGUACACACCGCCCGUCACACCAUGGGAGUGGGUUUCACCAGAAGAGGCUAGCCUAACCGUAAGGGGGGCGGUCGCCACGGUGAGAUUCAUGACUGGGGUGAAGUCGUAACAAG
rnacentral:rRNA from 1 species